rnacentral:rRNA from 1 species
GAUGAACGCUAGCGGCAGGCUUAACACAUGCAAGUCGAGGGGUAUAGGAAGCUUGCUUCCUAGAGACCGGCGCACGGGUGCGUAACGCGUAUGCAACCUACCUUUUACAGGGGAAUAGCCCAGAGAAAUUUGGAUUAAUGCCCCAUGGUAUAAUUGAAUGGCAUCGUUUAAUUAUUAAAGUUCCAACGGUAAAAGAUGGGCAUGCGUCCUAUUAGCUAGAUGGUAAGGUAACGGCUUACCAUGGCGACGAUAGGUAGGGGUCCUGAGAGGGAGAUCCCCCACACUGGUACUGAGACACGGACCAGACUCCUACGGGAGGCAGCAGUGAGGAAUAUUGGACAAUGGGCGCAAGCCUGAUCCAGCCAUGCCGCGUGCAGGAAGAAGCAUCUAUGGUGUGUAAACUGCUUUUGUACAGGAAGAAACAUCCCGACGUGUCGGGACUUGACGGUACUGUAAGAAUAAGGAUCGGCUAACUCCGUGCCAGCAGCCGCCGUAACAC